AGAGUUUGAUCAUGGCUCAGGAUGAACGCUAGCUACAGGCUUAACACAUGCAAGUCGAGGGGAAACGACAUCGAAAGCUUGCUUUUGAUGGGCGUCGACCGGCGCACGGGUGAGUAACGCGUAUCCAACCUGCCCACCACUUGGGGAUAACCUUGCGAAAGUAAGACUAAUACCCAAUGACGUCUCUAGAAGACAUCUGAAAGAGAUUAAAGAUUUAUACGGUGAUGGAUGGGGAUGCGUCUGAUUAGCUUGUUGGCGGGGUAACGGCCGACCAAGGCGACGAUCAGUAGGGGUUCUGAGAGGAAGGUCCCCCANAUUGGAACUGAGACACGGUCCAAACUCCUACGGGAGGCA
rnacentral:rRNA from 1 species